CUUCGCAGUGCGAGGAGCGCACGGAACUCUGGGUAGAGAAUGGUAGAACACGUACAAUAUAUGACGACAAUCACAAAUAUGAGUGACGUAAUACACGUACACUAUAUGGCGACAAUAAUCACAACUUAUCAGUGAAAAGCACCAAGACUUUCUCAUAGAAUAUCUAUGAUAUGGUGGAUGUGAAAACUGUCAUUUUUUGUACAUAUGAUUUUAAAGUCAUCGGGUGGAGGGCAUGGUUAUUAGAAAUUAACAGAUUUUCCGCUGUCGCCAUGGGUGAUUGACAACCGUGUCGAUUUACUACCGGUGUUACAUUGAUUGACAGAAUCUGAAGAUCUGAUUGCAGACAAAGUUAAGUGAAUCUCUACUUUGAUGGAUCGAUAGACUUCAGUAAUAUUUCGUCGUGAUUAGGUCUCUGUUGUCAUGGAUAAAUUUUGACACUCUUUUGUUUUAUUAGUCGGGAGAUAAAUAAUGUAUUUGCUCCGUUUAAUAGUGGUCACAAGGCGCUGAGCAGCGACCAUUGUGAGAACUCACCGCUGUAUGGCGGACGGCGAACUUCACACGGCGCGGAUUUAUUUUUAGUUUUUGUUAAUUGUUUUCUUUGAAGAUAAACCAGGACAGAACUCACAAUAACAAAACGAUGCCCUGACUAAGGAACAUUUUUGUUAUUAUAAAUACAUACUACAGGAAAACAUAUAAUCUUAAUUUGAUUCUCAAUUUAACGCACGAUGACGAAUUCCAUGAAAAUAGAUAUUAAUCUGAAAGUUGGAAUGAAAUAUCUAUUCGCAUGUAUGCACUGCUGCAAUAAAAGUAUCGUAUUUGAUAUUUUCGUCGAAAUGAAAGGAAGCAACGAAUGUCUGUUCUUAAUGAAACAGAAUAAUUCUAUUAAAAGUGUGUUCAAACUUGUAGUUACUUACGGGCAGGGGGGAAAUUCCACCCGGUAUAAUUAAAUUUUCUACAGAUUCUGAAAUCGCCUAUUUGCACGCAUGAUUAGUAUAUUGAGAAUUUUUUAAAAAACACAAAAUUACAAGAAGCCGCCUUUCAUCGCGUUACGGUACAUAUUAAACCAACCUUUUCUUCCUCGAUGCUUUCUGCUUCGUGGAUCCGCCACACCAUUUCCUGACCACAUGUCCCCACCUGUUGCCCCACCCUGUACAGGCGGUGGAUAGGGUUGGCAUCCUCGGAUGCCAGGGAACUUUUAAUUAGAGAUAACAUAUCCAUGAUGCUGACUCACACUCCGGGGAGGGAGGGUCGUAAUCCCAUCACACAGAAUCGCCCGGCAGUCCGCGGAAGUCAAUCCCCCAGAGAAUGGCGGAUACGCAAUCCCUCACUGAACAUCAGCAAACUGCAGAAAGGAAGUGUAAUUAAAAUUUUCCAAGACUGGUAAAGGCGAUUUCUGACCAGUUAGUGGCAUUACGAGGAUUGACAGGCAUGUUUUUCCAAUCGAUGACAGUCGGGGGACAAUGUAUGCAAUAAUUAGACCACUUAUUUCUAUAUCAGGGGAGGGUCUCUUCAGCUGUAGGAGAGGCUUGGCGACAUAAGAUGGCGAUCACCAUUCGAUAGUUAGAUUUGUAUUGAACAUUUCAAACAGCCGGGAACGUUAGAGCGGAAACAUCCGUUUGCUUGUCAUUAUAAGCAUAUCACGGCAAAAACUGCUAUUGAUUUCAAAAUCUAUUGGCGGUGAGGACUAACACAGACUUAUAUACCGCCAAAUCUCUGCCAUCAGUAAACAAGCAAAUGCUGGUGUCCUACACGAUCCAUGCAUCUUGUCGACAUGUCAGGUUCCUUGGUAGAAAGAUGUGAGAGCAGAUAUUCUUGGCCUUAGCUGAAUCAACGCUAGACCACAUUGGAGUAUUCAGAGAUCUAGGAUUACUGUGUACACAGUCUUCAGAAUCAGUGCUGACUGUUUCAGAUCGGGUUCAAUAUACCAGGGUUAAAUCGCGAUUUUAUAGCGCUCUAAGCACUCCCGGGCGCUUUUCCCAAUAGAAGGAACUGUGAGCUGCAUAUGAAAUGUCAAUACGGUAUAGUGGAAUAAAUAGUCACGGUAACGCUCUCCACAUUAAAUAACAAUUUUCUGCAAAAAGUGUAGAUAUCCAAUAAAGUUUUUACUAGUGUGCCUUGAAA